UGGAAAAAAUGAUCAGACCUUCAUAGUUGAUACAGCCGUUUGCAUCUUCCUGUCCUGCCAUUAGAUGUUCUACCUCUGAUUCUGUCAUCUUCUCACCUGCGGGCAAGACAUGUGACACACUGUGGGUGCUUGUUUCUGGUGUUAAUCUCAAGACUCGCAAGCCCUCAACAAAGUCCUCAAACGUGCCCUGAUCUUUGGACUUGGACACGUGUUGGAACAUAGCCAGGAAAGUCUCGAAGUCUAUCAGUUUGGUGUUCAUUUCUAGAGAAAAUGGGUAUUGCAAACACAUUAAAAAAAAUAUUCAUUUUAAUUGUGCAACGUUUAGCCUACGGCCAAAGCACAGUUUAUUUCUCUCACCCUCAGGUUUGGGUUUGCCAAGUACUUUGAUGACCUCAGCAUUUGUAGGAUUCUGACCCAACGCCCUCAUGACAUCACCACACUGGGCAGAGACAAGAGAACAGGAAUGCUAAGCUGUAAUAUGGAAGACACCAGCUUGGAAGGCCGUAUGACCACAUGGAGGCUCUUUCAUUCUGACC